AUUGAACGCUGGCGGCAGGCCUAACACAUGCAAGUCGAGCGGCAGCACGGGAAGCUUGCUUCCUGGUGGCGAGCGGCGGACGGGUGAGUAAUGCAUAGAAAUCUGCCCGGUAGUGGGGGAUAACCUGGGGAAACCCAGGCUAAUACCGCAUACGUCCUACGGGAGAAAGCAGGGGAUCUUCGGACCUUGCGCUAUCGGAUGAGUCUAUGUCGGAUUAGCUUGUUGGUGAGGUAAUGGCUCACCAAGGCGACGAUCCGUAGCUGGUCUGAGAGGAUGAUCAGCCACAUCGGGACUGAGACACGGCCCGAACUCCUACGGGAGGCAGCAGUGGGGAAUAUUGGACAAUGGGCGCAAGCCUGAUCCAGCCAUGCCGCGUGUGUGAAGAAGGCCUUCGGGUUGUAAAGCACUUUCAGUGGGGAAGAAAGCCUUGGGGCUAAUACCCUCGAGGAAGGACAUCACCC
rnacentral:rRNA from 1 species